ACCUCUUGUGGACUCAUCUGAUAGAUGAUUAGGCGUUGGAAUUGUUUCUUGACAAUGGCAGAGGUAGGAGGCUGUUCACUUCCCAAUCCAUAUCCUACCUCAUACACGUCUCCGAAUGAGGACAGAUCAGGAACUCCCUGUUCAGUUCACAUUUAUAUCAAUGGAAGCAUAUCAGCUCACAUAACAGUAACGUUAUGGAGAUGAUGAAGUGAGAGUUCAGAAGUCAUGAAGUGGGUAACAACUCAAUAGUUGGUGAAGACAGUUGGCUACCAUACAUCCCUAUAUUCUUCUCUUCCCCAAACACACACACACUCAAAAAAAAAAAAAAAAAAGCAGUACUCAUCAUCAUCACUGUGAAUAAACUUGUUCUUCUGUGUCCCAUCAAUUAAAAGAUUAUCAUAAUAAUUUAGUCAAAAGAAAUCUGAAAUAUGUAUUUAUAUGAAUGAUCAGAUUAAGAGAUAUGUAUAUUGGUAGAUAGGGUAUGAUAGAAAUUUACAUCUUGAAUGUCUUGAUCCGUCAAGUAACCAAACUUGAGCAUGGUGGCAGCCACAUAUACUGCUACUCUGAUCUUCUUUGCGAACUUGUGGGUGGCCUGCGUUACGCUUAGCCCUCCAGCGCUGUGCCCGACCAAUAUCACCUAUAAACACGACCAACAUAUAUAUGCAUGUUUAUCCAUAUCUGUACAUGAAUUAAUUAAUGUAUCUAGAAAGUAACAAAGGACCUGGUGAUUAUCAGGCAAGGAAGACAUGAAGUCCAUGAGAGGCUUAUUAUAAUCAUCAAAAGAAAGGAUAGAAUUAGCAUCUGCUGGAUCAAUGCCUGCUCCUCUGAGAUCAAUACAGGAGACUUUAUACCCUGAAUUCUCCAUGAGGCACCUGAUUUUGUACCAGCACCAGCUUCCUCCACCGAUUCCAUGCACCAGCACGAAGUGUGGCUUUGAUGCUGCUGCUGCAGCAGCUUCUUCAUCAUCUCUCAUGUACUCUGCUGCCUCUCCCAUUUAUGGCCACUUCUUCCCCACUUUAAUGGAAUUCUUCUUUAAAGAAAGAGAGAGGUUUCCAGUGGAAUCCAGCAAUUUCAAGAUUUGUUACAUUGGAAAAGAUUUUCCUGGGCAGAAGAUUGAUCCUCCACUUAUAUAUAAUUUUUGAGGAAGAAAUAUAGAAGAAUCAGUGAAUGGUGAAAAUGAGGGAGGGCAGGCCAUAUGAAAUGGAAGCCAACCUUGCAGAAAAGGUUGAAUGGAAGGCCCCAUUCAGAAAGAGUCAAGGAGGAAGAGCCACUCAUUUGAUAAUUAUUUAUUAUUCAUAAGUGGUUAAUCCAAGUUGAUAGACUUUUGCCACUGAAAUGCCAAUACCUCUCUCAUAAUUAAUUGAUUGGGAUUUUGAGACAUCACUUUUCUUUCUGUACCCUUUCCUUUUUAUGUUAAGAAAACUGUCUGUAAAAAGACAGAAACUUCAAAAAGAUAAAAUAAAAGAGAAGCCUUUUGUGGU